rnacentral:misc_RNA from 1 species
GAUGAAGAACGCAGCGAAAUGCGAUAAGUAAUGUGAAUUGCAGAAUUCAGUGAAUCAUCGAAUCUUUGAACGCACAUUGCGCCCCCUGGUAUUCCGGGGGGCAUGCCUGUCCGAGCGUCAUUACAACCCUCAAGCUCAGCUUGGUGUUGGGCCCCGCCGCCCCGGCGGGCCCUAAAGUCAGUGGCGGUGCCGUCCGGCUCCGAGCGUAGUAAUUCUUCUCGCUCUGGAGGUCCGGUCGUGUGCUCGCCAGCAACCCCCAAUUUUUUUCAGGUUGACCUCGGAUCAGGUAGGGAUACCCGCUGAACUUAAGCAUAUCAAUAAACGGAGGA